UACGUAGGGUGCGAGCGUUAAUCGGAAUUACUGGGCGUAAAGCGUGCGCAGGCGGUUGUGCAAGACAGAUGUGAAAUCCCCGGGCUUAACCUGGGAACUGCAUUUGUGACUGCAUCGCUGGAGUGCGGCAGAGGGGGAUGGAAUUCCGCGUGUAGCAGUGAAAUGCGUAGAUAUGCGGAGGAACACCGAUGGCGAAGGCAAUCCCCUGGGCCUGCACUGACGCUCAUGCACGAAAGCGUGGGGAGCAAACAGG
rnacentral:rRNA from 1 species